rnacentral:misc_RNA from 1 species
AACGCACAUUGCGCCCCUUGGCAUUCCGAGGGGCGUGCCUGUUCGAGCGUCAUCACAACCCUCAAGCUCUGCUUGGUGUUGGGCAUCGCCAGCCUUGGUGUGCCUUAAAAUCAGUGGCGGCGCCAUCUGGCCCUCAGCAUAGUAGUAAUUCUCUUGCUAUAGGGACCUGGUAGGUGCCAGCCAUCAACCCCUAGUUAUAAUUAAGGUUGACCUCGGAUCAGGUAGGGAUACCCGCUGAACUUAA